rnacentral:lncRNA from 1 species
GCCCAGGAUAAUAUAUUAUUAUCUUGGUGCACAAGUACAUUUGACUAUUCGCAUUUUUUUUUUUUUUUUUUUUUUUUUUUUUUUUUGAAAUAUAUACUAUUAUUCAUCAACCGGUUAAACCGGAAUUCAGUGUUUGAUACAAGUUUGGUUCAACCAAAAUUUCUCUAAAUCAACCAUUACAAGAAUAGCUUCGCUCGCCCACUUAACCGACGCCAUCCGCUAAUCUGCUCUGGAAUCCUCAGAAAAUCAAUCCCCGUUCUCUACCGUUGAUGUUGACCACAAAGAGGUGGGGUUUACCUCGUUGCCUCACUCCUUGUGACAUCGCUGGAGUUGCUAGAUUUUGAUAAUCUCCCCAUAACAUGUAUCUUGACUGGCCAUGAAGCACUAGACUCGAACGGUUAAGAGGUAAGAGAUAGCAAACCUUGAAGAACGCCACUGAAACCUUACCGAACCGUGGACUGAGGAGGAAAUAGAGCGCCAAAUACCACGAAUAGAUCAAGCAACUCAGAACCUCCGAAUAAGACGAGCUGCAAUGAAGACAAACCACACACCGGGUCUUUAGUACCUGCAAUAAGAUAGAGAAAAGCCUACCAAGAUCACCAAAAGGCAAUCCCAGCACUGGGAUGGCUUAAACUCUAAUCAAGUCACCCCGUCGAGCAAGACCGAACGACUCAAACAAUGGCCCCAACCGACGCCUUGACCCGAGAACUAGAGAACCUAGCACGGUCUUCUUGCGCUUCAUAGCUACUCCUUGCUGGUGAAGCUAAGUAACAGACAAUGAAGCGGUACCAAACAGCUCAAGACCAUUUCCGAAAUGGACUGAGCAACAACCCGGGUUAGUAAGUGAGGCGGACUAGCAAGUGAAGAGCGUAUCCGAAAUGGACUGAGCAACAACCCGGGUUAGUAAGUGAGGCGGACUAGCAAGUGAAAAGCGUCGUGGAAGGCACAACCCACUCUGCCAUAGACGACAGAAAAAGCUGGAACCUCCAGAGAACGCACACGCAGAAACCACAGAGAGACCUUGGCCACACAACCAGCAAGUAUCCAAGUGUACGUGCUGACGGUACUCUACCGUCAUCUCCCAUGAGCAGUAACACAACUCGGACCCGAGACAAGACACCAAGCCAUGACUCCGAAAAGGUUAACAUACUCCACUCCACAACGAAGAGACUUCGCCAAUAAGACACACCAGAUGAAGAACCAGAGGAGAGAGCACGAGCCAACCAC